GACAGAGGAUGCAAGCGUUAUCCGGAAUGAUUGGGCGUAAAGCGUCUGUAGGUGGCUUUUUAAGUCCGCCGUCAAAUCCCAGGGCUCAACCCUGGACAGGCGGGUGGAAACUACCAAGCUGGAGUACGGUAGGGGCAGAGGGAAUUUCCGGUGGAGCGGUGGAAAUGCGCAGAUAUCAGGAGGGAACACCAAUGGCGAAGGCAGAUCUCUGGGCCGUAACUGACGCUGAGGAGCGAAAGCAUGGGGAGCGAACAGG
rnacentral:rRNA from 1 species